rnacentral:rRNA from 1 species
GAUGAACGCUGGCGGCGUGCCUAAUACAUGCAAGUCGAGCGAAUGGAUUAAGAGCUUGCUCUUAUGAAGUUAGCGGCGGACGGGUGAGUAACGCGUGGGUAACCUGCCCAUAAGACUGGGAUAACUCCGGGAAACCGGGGCUAAUACCGGAUAACAUUUUGAACCGCAUGGUUCGAAAUUGAAAGGCGGCUUCGGCUGUCACUUAUGGAUGGACCCGCGUCGCAUUAGCUAGUUGGUGAGGUAACGGCUCACCAAGGCAACGAUGCGUAGCCGACCUGAGAGGGUGGUCGGCUACACUGGGACUGAGACACGGCCCAGACUCCUACGGGAGGCAGCAGUAGGGAAUCUUCCGCAAUGGACGAAAGUCUGACGGAGCAACGCCGCGUGAGUGAUGAAGGCUUUCGGGUCGUAAAACUCUGUUGUUAGGGAAGAACAAGUGCUAGUUGAAUAAGCUGGCACCUUGACGGUACCUAACCAGAAAGCCACGGCUAACUACGUGCCAGCCGCCGCAGUAA